GUUUUAAAUCUUCAUUACAGACUCCAAAGGACAAACUCAAGUGCAUUCAACGUUGUUGUACAACAAUUAUGAGCCUGCUAGGUAUGUCCAGCGGCGAUGCAGUGGGUGCUGACGCGUUCACCCCAGUCCUGAUAUACGUGGUGAUGCACGCGAACCCCAGGGGACUGUUAACGACCAUAGAUUUCAUUAAUAAUUACCUGAACGAAACACUGAGCGGAGAACAGUAUUAUUGCUGGAUGCAGUUCUGUUCCGCCAUUCAGUUCAUCAAAAUACUGCUGGAGGAGAACAAGUCGAUGUUGAGUCAGUUAUAAUCACACCCGUAAAUAAAUUAAGAGACACUUCUACCCAAAUGACGAAAAUGGGUUUCACAUGGUGGUUGAAAUACAGGUAAUGGAAACAAUACGAAGCAUUGACUUGAUCCUAUAACUGUCAGUACCUCUGAGUUUGGCUACCAAUUUUAAGGUUACAGAACACCUUUGAGUGUUAAUUUUGCCUAAAAUUUUUUUAUUGGUUUCGAUGAAAGUAUUAGACUAGUUCUACUAUCUGACCAAGUUUGAACGAAAAAUGUUGAAAACUCGCAGAGUUAUUUAGUAAAAUACAUUUCGCUGCAAUAAGAAAAACAUUGAAAAUGUAAUAUUCAAAUUCAAUUUUCUCACGAAAAAUUUUACGGUAAUUACUGAUUUUCAAACGAGUUAUGCUCCUGCGGGUUUUAACCAAUUUUCAAAUUUUCACAGGACAUAGCUCAAUACGUCAGUUUCAAAAUUGUGUUCGGCUUUUAUUUAAUUUUGGAUAUUUUAAAAAUAAAGAGCAAUUCACUCAAACAAUUCAGAAAUAUAUUGCAGUCGUCAAAGAAAUCGCCAUAUCAGCGGAAUGACGAAAUAAACAAAAAUUUCCGAACACAAUUUUUUAGAACAACUAUUUUACUGUAUAAAAAUGAUAUUUUCAUAAAUAUAACUUAAAACCAGCAGGAGCACAACUCAAAAGCGUAAAGGUACCGCGAUUUAAGAUUUUCCUGAAUAACUCUUACAUUAUUUUAUUGUUUGUUAAUUUUACAACUUUACCAUAUUUUGCAUGCACUGGAGAACAUUUGGUGAAAAUUUGAUGAAAAUCGGACUGAUAUUGAGCGCGCAGUAGCGAUUUUCCGCAAAACGCCAAAAGGGUGUCCUGUAA